rnacentral:rRNA from 1 species
GUCUGCAGCCAUACCACCCUAAAUACACCCUGAUCUCGUCUGAUCUUGGAAGCUAACCAGGGUCGGGCCUGGUUAGUACUUGGGUGGGAGACUGGAAGUCACGAGCCACCUCUU